rnacentral:tRNA from 1 species
GCCGAUGUGGUGAAAUGGCAGACACGCACGGCUUAGGACCGUGUGCCCGAAAGGGCGUGGGAGUUCGACUCUCCCCAUCGGCA